GUGGGUGUAGCUCAGCUGGUUUAGAGCACUUGACUGUGGCUCAAGUGGUCGCGGGUUCAAAUCCCGUCAUCCACC
rnacentral:tRNA from 1 species